rnacentral:rRNA from 1 species
UGGGGAAUAUUGCACAAUGGGCGCAAGCCUGAUGCAGCAACGCCGCGUGAGGGAUGACGGCCUUCGGGUUGUAAACCUCUUUUAGCAGGGAAGAAGCGAAAGUGACGGUACCUGCAGAAAAAGCACCGGCUAACUACGUGCCAGCAGCCGCGGUAAUACGUAGGGUGCAAGCGUUGUCCGGAAUUAUUGGGCGUAAAGAGCUCGUAGGCGGUCUGUCGCGUCUGCUGUGAAAUCCCGAGGCUCAACCUCGGGCCUGCAGUGGGUACGGGCAGACUAGAGUGCGGUAGGGGAGAAUGGAACUCCUGGUGUAGCGGUGGAAUGCGCAGAUAUCAGGAAGAACACCGAUGGCGAAGGCAGUUCUCUGGGCCGUAAGCUGACGCUGAGGAGCGAAAGCGUGGGGAGCGAACAGGAUUAGAUACCCUGGUAGUCCACGCCGUAAACGUUGGGCGCUAGAUGUGGGGACCAUUCCACGGUUUCCGUGUCGCAGCUAACGCAUUAAGCGCCCCGCCUGGGGAGUACGGCCGCAAGGCUAAAACU